AAAGGAAAAUAUGCAGACACGUACAAAGGAUUUCUGAGAAAUAUAAAAUCUGGAAGUCUCUGUGCAGGGGACCAGGAGUUUUGAGGGGGCAAAGAAAUGAGGACUGGAGCAGUCUUGGUUGUGGUUGGUGACUCAUGGUGACUCAUGAACAAAUAAAGUGUACCUGUGUACCUGUAUGAACUUGCUUCAGUCUCACUUCUCGUGUGAAUAUUCACCUUUACUGAACUGAUGCUGCAGGUCCCACUGAGAAGUAACUACCUGAGUAGUGGAUAAAUCAUCAGG